rnacentral:lncRNA from 1 species
GAGAAAUCGAAGGUCCCCCAAGGACCCACGUCCAGGAGCCAACAGCCUCUCUGUGCAAACCAGACAACCCUGCAGGAACUGUGCUUGAAGAAACCGUGGAAACUGCCCCCAACCCUCCCGUCUCUAUUUCUUUCUCUGUUUUAUUAUCUCAUUCUUGGCUGUGAGGUAAACAGGAGAAAAUGAGAAGGUGGUUCUGGAGGACCCGACCGAAUUUGCUUUCGUGACAGGGUCAAGCGCCCUUUCCUCGCCGGCCGCAGCCCUCACCAAAGGGGAUUUGGGGGCCUCCGGACAGGGGUCCUGAAGGUUUUGAAUUGUUCAAUCUCUGGGGGUACAGGAACCCCUGCAGGAGGUUUCAAAGGCAAGAGUUUCGCAGAGAGAAAAAAACCAUGAACUUUGCAGGUUGGUGGCGGAAUCUGGUGAUUUAAGAAAACGUGUUUAAGCCUCGGCCGGGCCGCGCCUGGGCUGUCUGCGGUGCUCUUCCGGAAUUCUCUACAAUAUCUGGAAGUGACCAAGAAAAUUCCAGAACCCGGAGGCUGCGCCGUGGAGAUAAACAUGGGCACCUGGGUAUGUUUGUUUUUAUUGUUAGGACCUAUUUUAUCACAAGCAAAAAAAA